rnacentral:rRNA from 1 species
UGGGGAAUAUUGGACAAUGGGCGAAAGCCUGAUCCAGCCAUGCCGCGUGUGUGAAGAAGGUCUUCGGAUUGUAAGCACUUUAAGGUGGGAGGAAGGGGCGUAAGCGAAUACCUUGCUGGUUUGAAGGUAACGACAGAAUAAGCACCGGGUGACCCUGGGGCAGCAGCCGCGGUAAUACAGAGGGUGCAAGCGUUAAUCGGAAUUACUGGGCGUAAAGCGCGCGUAGGUGGUUCGUUAAGUUGAAUGUGAAAGCCCCGGGCUCAAACUGGGAACUGCAUCCAAAACUGGCGAGCUAGAGUAGGGCAGAGGGUGGUGGAAUUUCCUGUGUAGCGGUGAAAUGCGUAGAUAUAGGAAGGAACACCAGUGGCGAAGGCGACCACCUGGGCUCAUACUGACACUGAGGUGCGAAAGCGUGGGGAGCAAACAGG